GAGAACACAUGGAAAGAUGGCUAAAAUUAUUGCCAUUUGUAUAAUUCUUAUCACUCUUAAAGCAACAGUGAUAUCUCUUCUCAACAUCCAUCAAUCACCUCAACAUCUACUUAUCACACCAGAGCAGAGGAAAGUGAAGCUACACUGCCGGCAUGGGGAUACCAGCUAUCCCUACAUGUACUGGUAUCAGCAAAAUAUGGUUGGUGAUGCCAUUGAGCUUAUUGGAAUGCUCCAUUAUGAAAGAUUCACCACUGAGGAGAAGUUUAAAGCAAGAUUCAACUCUUCAGGACACUCUAAAGAGGAUGCAUUUCUGCUCAUAUCCAAUAUAACGUUUGAGGAUAGUGCAGUAUAUUUCUGUGCUGCUAGUAAGCACAGCCACACACCUGCCCUUUCUGUUUAA